UUUGGGUAUGACUUCAUGUGGAAGGUGGGUAGGAAUGCUUGUUUCCUCUUUUUUAAUAAUGGCAAGUAGCAACAAAAACUUUCAAAUCACCUACUACUUUCCACACCAGAACUGCACAGAAAGAAUGAAAAUUCUAAGAGAAAUAAGAAAAAGGAGAGAGUAGACUUUGGAAUUGACAUAACAGAUUUGAAGGUAAGAAAAGAAAGAGAAAGAGACGAAUUAUUUAGAUUGAUAGGAUCGACUUGAAGAAGAUAUUUUUUUCUUCCAGUUUCGUUCAAGUAUAUAGUUUUGAGUUCAUGGAAAGGAAAGAACAGCUUCUAUUUUGACAAGGUGCUCAAUCGGAUGAGGUUAAACUAUCGCAAUAUCAGGCGGUAAAUGAGCACUCAGCAGAGGGCAAAAGUAAAAAUAUUAUUGCUUUACAAGACUGAUUUCGACAGUUUGUUCUUCGAUGAUGAUAUGUUGUUUCCUCUUUCAAUUUCUCAUUUCCGAAAGAUGAGUUACGUGAUCUUCUGAUAAUUCCCUAGUCGACAACACCGCCUUCUAUCUCACUGGUUCAUGCAGCUCAGGUCUCAAUUGCUUAAGGGGUCCGGAUCCUGGUGCUGGAGCCUUUGGACCACAGUAAGGUUGCUGCCUUCAGUCCAGCGGCGGAGACCCGAGGUAGUCCUGCAGACGUCCGCAGGCAUUGGCGUCCCAUUCUAUCUUUUCCAUUCUGUUUUUAUGUAUUUUAGAGACAGACGUGUAUUUUCCAUUCAGACCACUAUUUGUAUUAUUCGUAGAUGGUCCAAUUCUGGGUAGUGUUGUAUUUUGAAUUUUUU